AGUUAAUUAGCUUAAGAAAAGCAUAUGUCUUGAAAACAUAAGAAUAGAAGUUUAAUUCUUCUAUUAACUUU
rnacentral:tRNA from 1 species